CCCAUCCUUGCAGGCACCCAGGAGGUGUCCAGUCUGUACUGGGCAGUAUGAACAGAAACCUUCAUUGAAGAAAAAGAACAGCAGCUACCAUUACUGAGCAUUCAGUGUGCCAAGCACCAUCCCAAGUGUUCACAUCCUCCAUGUGUUGUCAAUCUUCCCCUUCUCAUUUUGGUCAGAUGUCAUCUCCUGUAAUACCCAGACAGCAUCCAACCUCUUUGUCAUUUUAAGGCAGACCAGCCUCCUGUCCAAGCACUGGCCUGUCCUUUCUGCUCCAGUCAUACUGAUGACACCUUGUUUUUUAAGCCUAAAACCUACUUCUCCCAAUUUGCUCGGCAAUUAUUUGCUAAUCACCCUGGAUUUACCUAGGACAUACUUUUCCAUGAAUGAAAGAGCCAUUCAGGGAACAACACUGGGAAAUGCCCCCACGGAGAUGCUGAGAAAGGCUCAGACUCUGUUUACUCCCAUAUGUGCAGCACAAUCAGUGGGAAAGUUGCAACUGAGAGGGGAAAAAAAAAGGUUUUUUUCUUCCUUAAAAAAAAAAAAAAAAACUUUUUGUUUUCAAUCUGUGUCUCUUUUAAGCCCCACAGGAUGGAGAUGUCCUAAAAUAAGAAAUUAAACAAGAGGGGAAAUCCCAUUAUCUGUUUUUUUAAUGGGUCCCUCAAGAUUCCACGCAGACCCCCUUCCCAGCCGCUGUGUGGUCCAGGCCUGAGAACACCCAGCCCCCCACCCCACGGCCCACGCCCACCCACCACCCAGCCAGGGAGGCAGUUUCCCAGGAUUCACAUGGUAAUGAAGGCAUCCAUCUUCUCCCAGACACACACUGGGCCCUCCGACCCUCCCAGGCCCCCCGCACAAUGGCCCCCAGCACGGAGGCCCCACCACCUGUUGGAUUUUCCCAGGGAAGGGAGGAAGAGGGUGGAGGAGAAGAGCCCUUUCCUCCCAACCCCCAGCGCAUUGGCCCCCUCUACCUGGGAGUCAAACAGUGAGAGCCCAUGUCCUCACUCCCUCUUUAGCUGACUGCACCUUCAGUUUCCUCAUCUGCAAAAUGGAGGUGGUUGUACCUAAGUCACAGUGUGGCUGGAAGGAUUCCGUUGGGAA